rnacentral:tRNA from 1 species
GGGGAUAUAGCUCAGUGGCACAGCACCUGCCUGGCAAGCGCGAGGUCCUGGGUUCAAUCCCCAGUACCA